rnacentral:sRNA from 1 species
AUAUUUCUGUUGUCUAAUCUCAAUUGAGAGCGGGGGACCCACUUUUUUGGGGCGAAUCUAAAUUUUAGAAGAAGACCUUUACUUCUAGCCCGACAGCUAACUCCGUAGACUUUAAAUAAAGGACAG